rnacentral:rRNA from 1 species
AGUGAACGCUGGCGGUAGGCCUAACACAUGCAAGUCGAACGGCAGCACAGUAAGAGCUUGCUCUUAUGGGUGGCGAGUGGCGGACGGGUGAGGAAUACAUCGGAAUCUACUUUUUCGUGGGGGAUAACGUAGGGAAACUUACGCUAAUACCGCAUACGACCUACGGGUGAAAGCAGGGGAUCUUCGGACCUUGCGCGAUUGAAUGAGCCGAUGUCGGAUUAGCUAGUUGGCGGGGUAAAGGCCCACCAAGGCGACGAUCCGUAGCUGGUCUGAGAGGUUGAUCAGCCACACUGGAACUGAGACACGGUCCAGACUCCUACGGGAGGCAGCAGUGGGGAAUAUUGGACAAUGGGCGCAAGCCUGAUCCAGCCAUACCGCGUGGGUGAAGAAGGCCUUCGGGUUGUAAAGCCCUUUUGUUGGGAAAGAAAAGCAGCAGGUUAAUACCCCGCUGUUCUGACGGUACCCAAAGAAUAAGCACCGGCUAACUUCGUG